UGGGGAAUAUUGCACAAUGGGCGCAAGCCUGAUGCAGCCAUGCCGCGUGUGUGAAGAAGGCCUUCGGGUUGUAAAGCACUUUCAGCGAGGAGGAAGGUGGUGAGCUUAAUACGCUCAUCAAUUGACGUUACUCGCAGAAGAAGCACCGGCUAACUCCGUGCCAGCAGCCGCGGUAAUACGGAGGGUGCAAGCGUUAAUCGGAAUUACUGGGCGUAAAGCGCACGCAGGCGGUUUGUUAAGUCAGAUGUGAAAUCCCCGGGCUCAACCUGGGAACUGCAUUUGAAACUGGCAAGCUAGAGUCUCGUAGAGGGGGGUAGAAUUCCAGGUGUAGCGGUGAAAUGCGUAGAGAUCUGGAGGAAUACCGGUGGCGAAGGCGGCCCCCUGGACGAAGACUGACGCUCAGGUGCGAAAGCGUGGGGCAGCAAACAGGAUUAGAUACCCUGGUAGUCCACGCUGUAAACGAUGUCGAUUUUGGAGGUUGUGCCCUUGAGGCGUGGCUUCCGGAGCUAACGCGUUAAAUCGACCGCCUGGGGAGUACGG
rnacentral:rRNA from 1 species